rnacentral:rRNA from 1 species
GAUGAACGCUGGCUACAGGCUUAACACAUGCAAGUCGAGGGGAAACGCCGGGGAAGCUUGCUUCCCCGGGCGUCGACCGGCGCACGGGUGAGUAACGCGUAUCCAACCUGCCUCUGACUGAGGGAUAACCCGUCGAAAGUCGGCCUAAUACCUCAUGGCAUCGUCUGCGGGCAUCCAACGACGAUUAAAGAUUUCAUCGGUCAGAGAUGGGGAUGCGUCUGAUUAGCUUGUUGGCGGGGUAACGGCCCACCAAGGCGACGAUCAGUAGGGGUUCUGAGAGGAAGGUCCCCCACAUUGGAACUGAGACACGGUCCAAACGCCUACGGGAGGCAGCAGUGAGGAAUAUUGGUCAAUGGGCGAGAGCCUGAACCAGCCAAGUAGCGUGCAGGAUGACGGCCCUAUGGGUUGUAAACUGCUUUUAUGCGGGGAUAAAGUGAGGGACGUGUCCUUCAUUGCAGGUACCGCAUGAAUAAGGACCGGCUAAUUCCGUG